CCAGACUCCUACGGGAGGCAGCAGUGGGGGAUAUUGCACAAUGGGGGAAACCCUGAUGCAGCGACGCCGCGUGAGCGAUGAAGUAUCUCGGUAUGUAAAGCUCUAUCAGCAGGGAAGAAAGUGACAGUACCUGACUAAGAAGCCCCGGCUAACUACGUGCCAGCAGCCGCGGUAAUACGUAGGGGGCAAGCGUUAUCCGGAUUCACUGGGUGUAAAGGGAGCGUAGACGGCAGUGCAAGUCUGGAGUGAAAGGCGGGGGCUCAACCCCCGGACUGCUCUGGAAACUGUACGGCUGGAGUGCAGGAGAGGGAAGUGGAAUUCCUAGUGUAGCGGUGAAAUGCGUAGAUAUUAGGAGGAACACCAGUGGCGAAGGCGGCUUACUGGACUGUAACUGACGUUGAGGCUCGAAAGCGUGGGGAGCAAACAGGAUUAGAUACCCCCGUACAU
rnacentral:rRNA from 1 species